rnacentral:rRNA from 1 species
AUUGAACGCUGGCGGCAUGCCUAACACAUGCAAGUCGAACGAGUGGCGGACGUGUGUGUAAUGUCUGGGAAACUGCCUGAUGGAGGGGGAUAACUACUGGAAACGGUAGCUAAUACCGCAUACCUUCAGAUUUUCCCAGAUGGGAUUAGCUAUUUGGUGGGGUAACGGCUAACCAAGGCGACGAUCCCUAGCUGGUCUGAGAGGGUGACCGGGCACACUGGAACUGAGACACGGCCCAGACUCCUACGGGAGGCAGCAGUGGGGAAUAUUGCACAAUGGGCGCAAGCCUGAUGCAGCCAGGCCGCGUGUAUGAAGAAGGCCUUCGGGUUGUAAAACACUUUCAUCAGGGAGGCGGUACCUGCAGAAGAAGCACCGGCUAACUCCGUGCCAGCAGCCGCGGUAAUUC